AAUCACUUAAAAAAAAAUCAAAACAAAACAAAACUUCCUUCCCUUCUCAUUCGGCUGAACCAAAAAAAAAGGGCUCCUCAUUCAAUCGUCCCUUUUGCUUCUCUCCUUGGCCGAUCAUAGGUUUCAUCGGUGUCUCAUGCGCCUCUACCUAUCGUGGCUCAUGGCUCGGGAACAAAGGAGACGAGAGGCGUCCCUUGGUCCAAAUCCAUGCCGUUGAAAGGGUCUCCGAUGGCCGAAACCGCGGGUAGGUUCCCUUCCCCGACCUCAAAAAGGUCUUCAAGGAGGAUGAGAGCAGGUGGAGGAGAGGUGGUGCAAGUGGAGGCACCUAGGGUUUGCUGCUUCCUUGUUUUUUUUCUGCUAGUGGUUUGGGCUAGGGUAGGCUGGGUAUUAAUGGGCCCGGGUAAAUUUGGGUACUUACCUUAAUAAUUUAAAAUGUUUUUUUCUUAAAGUAAACAAGAUCCAUUAAUUAAAAGUUACUUACACAA